rnacentral:misc_RNA from 1 species
GUCGAUUUGUACGUGACAAUUUCGCUGAAUUCAAAAUCAUAUUUAAUUAGUCAGGUGAAUAAUAACACGUGUUGAAUAUCGGCAGUAUCAUAAUCGUACUUACUGGAGUGAUGUGAUAACGGUGGAGUGGGAGUAGAAUGCCCUUCAGAAAAUACGCAUCACUUUCGUUCGAGGAAUGCGGUAUAAAGUGGGAUCUUCGAAGCGAUCCGUUUCGGUAAUUGACUGGCGUGCUGCAGCAUCUACGCAGCACCUGCACCAGCAGCACCUUCAGAUCGAACGGUGCCAGAGGCCCGACGAAACCAACUCUUCAAUGCUCCACCACGAUGAUCACCGCCAUCAUCGCAGUCGUCGCCAUCGUCGAUCUAAAAUAGAGGAAAUCAAAUUACACAAUCACAUUAUCGUAACGUUUAAUUAAAUAAUCACACAAUGAAUUCGAAUUAUCUCAUCUGUAUUCGAUCCCUUUGUUCCGCUUGUCAGAAACGGGAAUGAAAAAAACUUCAACGAUUAUUCGGUACAUACAACAUACCGUUAACAGCAGGAAAACGAAGGAGGAAACAUUGUGGCAUGAUGUGUAGUGUGGUACGAUAAACAUUCUGAGCGUAACAUGAAUAAUCUCAAUUAGUACAAUAAAUUGUUGGAGUGUCACACAAUACAAUCUGCGAGCUCAUGAUCUCAACUGAUGAUUUUUUUUUUUCUUAUCUCUUUUGAUUUUACUGUAUUUUGCCACAAAGACACAAGUAUUAUAAACGACUGUCAUGCGCCCGCUAUGUGAAAAAUGAAUUCUCAUCAUUUAUAGGCACCGUCCUUAGCGUAGAAUAAUCCUAAUCGAUGAAAAUGAUAGUAAUCAUAAUAAAUAUUACAAUAAUAACUGCACUAUCAAUUGUAUAUUGAACGAUUUUUUUUUCUUUUUCAUUUUUCAUUUUUCAAUUUUUUUUUUUUUCUCUUUAAUCCGUGUAUGCCACUUAUCUGUACAAACUAGUUUGUAAUAGUUCAACAUAUAUAAAACUCACUUCAACAUCGUAUCAUCAUCAACAUAGAUAACAACAAUAUCGAUAGCCAACAUAGUUAGUUACGUAGUUAUUCUGAUUUCACGUUGCUUUACGCCCUAAUUUUUUUUGUCUUUUUCUUCAAAUCUUUUUUUUACUAUAUAUUUCUAGGUAUAGUAAUUUAUUUUAUCUACAUUCUAAAUGAAAGUAACAAAAGGUUUCACCUUAUUGACCGCCGAUCAUUGUCACAAUUUGUUACAACGAAAUUAACUUUCGUUUUACUAAAAACCAAUAUAGUUAGUCAAUUAUCAUGC